GUGUGUGUGUGUGUGUGUGUGUGUGUAUAGGGUGUCCCAUAAGUUUCCUUACAUAUGUCUUUUAACAUUGUAUUUUUUCAUAUUUCAAAUACCCUAGAAGAUUUGAAAUUAUCUCUGUUCAGGGAGCAGUCGCAUGGUUGCAAUCGCAUUUAACAGAAAACGUGGAACGAAAAUCACUCGCGACACAGUUGCAUAACUCAUUGGAAAGUAAAAAAAAAAAAAAAAAAAAAAAAAAGUGUUACAGAUCAGACGCUUACACGGAGUCCCCCAAAAGUAUACGACGGUUGCCUUCAGAAAUUGGUGUCAGCAAAUCGAGAAGACGACCCAUAUAGACAAAUGGAAUUGGAAUUCCGUGAAUGGGUAUUAAGCAAAUUGAGAGAAGAUGCAAACAUUUCAACCUAUAUGUUAUUUACUAAUGAAUCUUUUUUUUUUUUUACUUCAAUCAGCAAAACCUGCAUUACUGGAGUAUUGGUAACCCUCACCGAGUGAGUCCGACGAAGAUGUAAGCAAGAUGGAGCUCCCUCUCAAUUUAGUAUCCACGGACGUCAGUGGUUAGAUCAGCAGCUUCCAGGUGUGUGGAUUGGUCAGCGUGGUCCUGUGGAAGGGCCUCCCGGAUCCCCAGACCUUACCCCACUUGCUUUUUACCUUUGCAUGCCAUGGUCCAUCAGGAAAUGAUAAAAAACAUGAAUCAUCUCAAACUUAAUUUAACUCAAGCUGAAGUGUUCUUCAUGUAGCACAUAUUAUAUAUAUAUAUUUUUCAUA